GACGAACGCUGGCGGCGUGCUUAACACAUGCAAGUCGAACGGAAAGGCCCUGCUUUUGUGGGGUGCUCGAGUGGCGAACGGGUGAGUAACACGUGAGUAACCUGCCCUUGACUUUGGGAUAACUUCAGGAAACUGGGGCUAAUACCGGAUAGGAGCUCCUGCUGCAUGGUGGGGGUUGGAAAGUUUCGGCGGUUGGGGAUAGACUCGCGGCUUAUCAGCUUGUUGGUGGGGUAGUGGCUUACCAAGGCUUCGACGGAUAGCCGGCCUGAGAGGGUGACCGGCCACAUUGGGACUGAGAGACGGCCCAGACUCCUACGGGAGGCAGCAGGGGGGAAUAUUGCACAAUGGGCGGAAGCCUGAUGCAGCAACGCCGCGUGCGGGAUGACGGCCUUCGGGUUGUAAACCGCUUUCGCCUGUGACGAAGCGUGAGUGACGGUAAUGGGUAAAGAAGCACCGGCUAACUACGUG
rnacentral:rRNA from 1 species